CCUACGGGAGGCAGCAGUGGGGAAUAUUGGACAAUGGGGGGAACCCUGAUCCAGCGACGCCGCGUGAGUGAAGAAGUAUUUCGGUAUGUAAAGCUCUAUCAGCAGGGAAGAAAGAAAUGACGGUACCUGACUAAGAAGCCCCGGCUAACUACGUGCCAGCAGCCGCGGGAAUACGUAGGGGGCAAGCGUUAUCCGGAUUUACUGGGUGUAAAGGGAGCGUAGACGGCGAUGCAAGUCUGAAGUGAAAGGCGGGGGCCCAACCCCCGGACUGCUUUGGAAACUGUAUGGCUGGAGUGCAGGAGAGGUAAGUGGAAUUCCUGGUGUAGCGGUGAAAUGAGUAGAUAUUAGGAGGAACACCAGUGGCGAAGGCGGCUUACUGGACUGUAACUGACGUUGAGGCUCGAAAGCGUGGGGAGCAAACAGGAUUAGAUACCCCAGUAGUC
rnacentral:rRNA from 1 species